AUAGAGUCGGGUAGCUUGGGAAUGCUGCUCUAAGUAGGUGGUAAAUUUCAUCUAAGGCUAAAUACUGGUGGGAGACCGAUAGUGAACAAGUACCGCGAGGGAAAGAUCAAAAGCACUUUGAAAAGAGGGUGAAAAGAACCUGAAACUGUUACGAGGAAAGCGGAUUGCGUUGGAUUGAAAAGCUUUUUUGUGUGUUCAGCCUUUACUGGUGUACUCAUACGAAAAGGUUAACCAUCGUGGCUAUUUGACGACUGAUUUUGAGUUGUUGAAUGGUGAGGGAUCCCCUUUAUUGGGUGAGGACGAUGGUGUGACAACGCGAUACGACCCGUCUUGAAACACGGACCAAGGAGUCUAGCACAAUUGCGAGUCGAAUGGUGUGAAAACCUGAGGGCGCAGUGAAAGCGAAUCAUUUAAAAACGAUCAGUUUGAGGCGGCAUAAAAUCGUUGAUUUUAGGUCUGACCUAGAGCAGUUGUGCUGGGACCCGAAAGAUGGUGAACUAUACUUGAGUAGGGCAAAGCCAGAAGAAAUUCUGGUGGAGGCUCGCAGCGGUGCUGACGUGCAAAUCGCUCGUCGAACUUGAGUAUAGGGGCGAAAGACUCAUCGAACCAUCUAGUAGCUGGUUCCCUCCGAAGUUUCUCUCAGGAUAGCGGGCCGACAUGACGUUGUUUUGUGCGGUAAAGCGAAUGAUUAGCGCAUUUGGGGACUAUUUGUCUUCGGGCGAUUCUCAAACUUUAAAUGCGCAAGGGUGCCGCUGCUUAAUUGAGCGGCACCGUCAAAAACGUCGGCUUCGUGGGCCAUUUUUGGUAAGCAG
rnacentral:rRNA from 1 species